rnacentral:rRNA from 1 species
UACAGAGGGGGCAAGCGUUAUUCGGAAUUAUUGGGCGUAAAGGGCGCGUAGGCGGCAUGGCAAGUGGAUGGUGAAAUCCCUCGGCUUAACCGAGGAACUGCCGUCCAAACUGCUUCGCUUGAGACCGGGAGAGGUGAGUGGAAUUCCCAGUGUAGCGGUGAAAUGCGUAGAUAUUGGGAGGAACACCAGUGGCGAAGGCGGCUCACUGGACCACAACUGACGCUGAGGCACGAAAGCUAGGGGAGCAAACAGG